ACUUUUAUAUUGUGUGUGUUGGUAUGCUAAUCUCUCCUAUCAUUUGUUUCUCAUGUUCUAGGACGAUUGAGCUUCUCUUUGAGUUGUUGCUAUGGUUUCUUUAAUAUGUUGAGCUUCUCUUGUGGUAUCCCUGAUUCUUUUCUCAUUCUUAGCAUACCCAUAACCACUGUAGCUUCUGAAUCUUCUUUUAGUAUUGGAUCUCAUUUGAUCAACAAAUACCGGAGUCGACUUCUUCCUAGUAACGUCCAAGCGUUACUAUGUACACGAUCUUGGAUACAUGGUUACAAGGUUGAUGAUGAAGAUAGCAAUGGCGAGAUAGUUACUAUUCGGUCGGAUCCAAUUUCUGUGGAAGAACAAUCUGCUCUUUCUAUCUAAAUAGGUCCAGAUGGUUUGUUUGAGGUGAAGCACAAACAGAGUCUUGCGUGUUCACAAUAACGUCUUCUUUGAAAGGCUAAAAAUGCUUUACCGUAUUUGUUCUUAACUUCUGUAAUGAUUUGCUACUCUCCUUUCUUUUGUUGGGAAAUAAGAGUUCAAACUUUGCUUGGUUUUUGUCCAAGACUUAUGUUUCCUUCAAAUCUCUUGUGAUUCAUUCUCAAUAAAAAGGAACUUCCUUAAUUU